GAUCAAGUGUCUUAAGGGCAAUUGGUGGAUGCCUUGGCAUGCACAGGCGAUGAAGGACGUGAUACGCUGCGAUAAGCUACGGGGAGGUGCGAAUACCCUUUGAUCCGUAGAUUUCCGAAUGGGGAAACCCACCUAAGGUGCUUGGAAAAUCAGAGUAGCAGGGCAACCUGCUGCUGUGGUUUCCAAGUAUCGAUAAUAGGUAACUUACCCUGAAUAAAAUAGGGGUAAAGUGGCGAACGCGGGGAACUGAAACAUCUAAGUACCCGUAGGAAAGGACAUCAACCGAGACUCCGGAAGUAGUGGCGAGCGAACCCGGACCAGGCCAGUGGCGAUGAUGAGACAAGCGGAACCUUCUGGAAAGUAGGGCCAUAGUGGGUGACAGCCCCGUACGCGUAAUGCAAAUCAUCGUCCUCGAGUAAGGCGGGACACGUGAAAUCCUGUCUGAAAUUGGGGGGACCACCCUCCAAGCCUAAGUACUCGUGCAUGACCGAUAGCGAACUAGUACCGUGAGGGAAAGGUGAAAAGCACCCCGACAAGGGGAGUGAAAGAGUACCUGAAACCGAUUGCCUACAAACAGUGGGAGUCCAAGGUUCGUCCUGGGUGACCACGUACCUUUUGUAUAAUGGGUCAGCGACUUAGUGUGACGAGCAAGCUUAAACCGCUAGGUGUAGGCGCAGCGAAAGCGAGUCUGAACAGGGCGUUCAGUUCGUCGCAUUAGACCCGAAACCGAGUGAUCUAGCCAUGAGCAGGUUGAAGGUAAGGUAACACUUACUGGAGGACCGAACCCAUAACUGUUGCAAUAGUUCGGGAUGACUUGUGGCUAGGGGUGAAAGGCCAAUCAAACUCGGAAAUAGCUGGUUCUCCGCGAAAUCUAUUUAGGUAGAGCGUCGACCGAAUACCCCAGGGGGUAGAGCACUGGAUGGGCUAGGGGUCCUCACCGGAUUACCAAACCUAACCAAACUCCGAAUACCUGGGAGUACUAGUCGGCAGACACACGGCGGGUGCUAACGUCCGUCGUGAAAAGGGAAACAACCCUGACCUACAGCUAAGGUCCCCAAGUUAUGGCUAAGUGGGAAAGGAUGUGAGGAUCCCAAAACAACCAGGAUGUUGGCUUAGAAGCAGCCAUCAUUUAAAGAAAGCGUAACAGCUCACUGGUCUAAAUAAGGGUCUUUGCGCCGAAAAUGUAACGGGGCUCAAGCCAUACACCGAAGCUUAGGGUUCGUAGCAAUACGAGCGGUAGCGGAGCGUUCUGUAAGCUGAUGAAGCCAUACCCGUGAGGGGUGGUGGAGGUAUCAGAAGUGCGAAUGCUGACAUGAGUAACGUAAGGGGAGUGAGAGACUCCCCCGCCGAAAGUCCAAGGGUUCCUGCUUAAAGCUAAUCUGAGCAGGGUUAGCCGGCCCCUAAGUCGAGGCAGAAAUGCGUAGACGAUGGGAACCACGUUAAUAUUCGUGGGCCUGGAGGAAGUGACGGAUCAUUGAGGUAGUCCAAUCUUAUCGGAUUGAAAGGGCUGCUGCGUGGUUCCAGGAAAUAGCUCCUCCUUAUAGACCGUACCCGAAACCGACACUGGUGGACUGGUAGAGUAUACCAAGGCGCUUGAGAGAACUAUGCUGAAGGAACUCGGCAAAUUGCACGCGUAACUUCGGAAGAAGCGUGACCCUUUUCCACGCAAGUGGAGGAGGGUGGCACAGACCAGGGGGUAGCGACUGUUUAUCAAAAACACAGGGCUCUGCGAAGUCGCAAGACGACGUAUAGGGUCUGACGCCUGCCCGGUGCUGGAAGGUUAAGAGGAGGGGUGCAAGCUCUGAAUCGAAGCCCCAGUAAACGGCGGCCGUAACUAUAACGGUCCUAAGGUAGCGAAAUUCCUUGUCGGGUAAGUUCCGACCUGCACGAAUGGCGUAACGACUUCCCCGCUGUCUCCAGCAUAGACUCAGUGAAAUUGAAUUCCCCGUGAAGAUGCGGGGUUCCUGCGGUUAGACGGAAAGACCCCGUGCACCUUUACUAUAGCUUUACAUUGGCAUUCGUAGUGGCAUGUGUAGGAUAGGUGGUAGGCUUUGAAACCUGGGCGCCAGCUCAGGUGGAGCCACCCUUGAAAUACCACCCUUAUCACUAUGGAUGUCUAACCGCGGCCCGUUAUCCGGGUCCGGGACAAUGUAUGGUGGGUAGUUUGACUGGGGCGGUCGCCUCCUAAAGAGUAACGGAGGCGCGCGAUGGUGGGCUCAGAACGGUCGGAAAUCGUUCGCUGAGUGCAAUGGCAUAAGCCUGCCUGACUGCGAGACUGACAAGUCGAGCAGAGACGAAAGUCGGUCAUAGUGAUCCGGUGGUCCCGCGUGGAAGGGCCAUCGCUCAACGGAUAAAAGGUACGCCGGGGAUAACAGGCUGAUGACCCCCAAGAGUCCAUAUCGACGGGGUUGUUUGGCACCUCGAUGUCGACUCAUCGCAUCCUGGGGCUGGAGCAGGUCCCAAGGGUAUGGCUGUUCGCCAUUUAAAGCGGUACGUGAGUUGGGUUCAGAACGUCGUGAGACAGUUCGGUCCCUAUCUGCCGUGGGUGUAGGAAUAUUGAAAGGAUCUGUCCCUAGUACGAGAGGACCGGGAUGGACGGAUCUCUGGUGGACCUGUUGUGGCGCCAGCCGCAUAGCAGGGUAGCUAUAUCCGGACGGGAUAACCGCUGAAGGCAUCUAAGCGGGAAACCCACCUUAAAACGAGUAUUCCCUGAGAACCGUGGAAGACGACCACGUUGAUAGGCCGGGUGUGGAAGAGCGGCAACGCUUGAAGCUUACCGGUACUAAUAGUUCGAUCGGCUUGAUCGUUCUCAUU
rnacentral:rRNA from 1 species